rnacentral:rRNA from 1 species
GAUAAGUAAUGUGAAUUGCAGAAUUCAGUGAAUCAUCGAAUCUUUGAACGCACCUUGCGCUCCUUGGUAUUCCGAGGAGCAUGCCUGUUUGAGUGUCAUUAAAUUCUCAAUCCUUUCUGGGUUUACUCUCAGUUGGGCUUGGAUAUGGGGGUUUUGCUGGCUUUGCAUAAAACAAAGUCAGCUCUCCUGAAAGAUAUUAGCAAGACUUGUUGUUGCAACCCUCUAUCUGGUGUGAUAAUUAUCUACAUCAUAGAUUUGUACACCUAUAUGUCUGGCUUCUAACAGUCCAUUAAAUUGGACAAAACUCUGACAAUUUGACCUCAAAUCAGGUAGGACUACCCGCUGAACUUAAGCAUAUCAAUAAGCGGAGGAAAAGAAACUAACAAGGAUUCCCCUAGUAACUGCGAGUGAAGCGGGAAAAGCUCAAAUUUAAAAUCUGGCAGUCUCUG